CAGGAGGAAGUUUGUCCUAUCAGAGCCCACAGUACUUGUUGCUGUCAAAGGGGCCAGUUGCAAACAGUCUUUCAGAAAAGCAAGAUUCCCAGAGAAGAAAUCAUGAGGUUUAUACCCUGGACUGAGCUCAAGUGCACAGCGGCACAUUAUGGAUGUUCCUGCUGACCUGCAGACAAAUAGGAGGGUUAAAGGAUCAAUUAAAUAAUCUUAACUCAUGAGCGGCAGGGAAAAUAUUUCAGCUGCAACACUGAUUGUCGUUCUGAAAGGUUCCCUGAUAGGAAUCUUUCAUUUAGCAAAACCAAACCUCUAAAGGCAAGAGGGGUUGAACUAUUGGAAUUACUGCUUGGCAAAUGCAGAAGAGUCAACCCUGCCACACUGUGACCCAGAGAAAGAUUUUUGGAAAAUAAGGAUCAUUCUCUUCAGUUGAAAUAAAACUGCUCUGCAAGGAAUCAAAUUGGCCUUCUGUCAGCAUGAUCGUCAUGAGUCAAGAGAAAGGUGAAUGUGCUCUGUCCACAAAUGAAGUUGGCCAAGCAAACUGGGGAAGGAUGGGGGUUGGAAAGAACCUCACCAGCUUCCCCAUUGAUCUGAAAAUCACGUCGAAGAUAUAUGGUGAGAGAGAGCACACAUCUCUAGUCUACAGACUGCUUUCGCUCACGGGCAGGAAGACGGAAAGAAUAUCAUGUCUCGUUAGUACAAUCCUUAGAAAUCAUGCCAAAAAUGUACACACAGUUGAAAUGGAGGGGAAUGAAUGACUCAGAAUUUCUCAUGAAGGAUGCAAAGCAGUUACCCUCUGGGGCAUUUCCUUGACUAAAGCUGAGGUCAGAAAAGACAAAUCAUAGUUACCAUGUGAAGGUAAAGCACUGACCACAGGGAGUGAAGUGCUUGAGACCUCAGAAUUUCUAUAGGACAGGUUUGAAGGUUACAAGGGUAACUGACAGUGCCUAUAAUAAAUACGAGAGAGAAGAUACAGAUUACAGGGAGAUUAUAGGAGAUUAAGAGUUGGAUGCAGGAGAAUUUUCAUAUAUUUUUAAAUCAACUUGAUUAAGUAUAAUUUAUAAACAAUAAAAUGCACACAUUUUAAAGGUACAGUUUGAAGAAUUUUGACAAAAGGGUAUGUGCAUGCUGCCACCACUAUCCAGAUAUAGGCAUUUCCAUCAUCCUCAAAGUUUCUCUUUUUGCCCCUUCCUAUUCCUGGGCUAAGGUAACCACUGAUGUGCCCUUUGUCACCAGAGAUUAAAUUGAACUUUACUGUGAGUUUCAUGUGCAUGGAAUCACGCAGUAUUUGUGUCAUGCAUUUGUGUCA